UACAGAGGUCUCAAGCGUUGUUCGGAUUCAUUGGGCGUAAAGGGUGCGUAGGCGGCGCGGUAAGUCGGGUGUGAAAUCUCGGAGCUUAACUCCGAAACUGCAUUCGAUACUGCCGUGCUUGAGGACUGGAGAGGAGACUGGAAUUUACGGUGUAGCGGUGAAAUGCGUAGAUAUCGUAAGGAAGACCAGUGGCGAAGGCGGGUCUCUGGGCAUUACCUGACGCUGAGGAGCGAAAGUGUGGGGAGCGAACAGG
rnacentral:rRNA from 1 species